GACGGAGGUGGCAAGCGUUGCUCGGAUUUACUGGGCGUAAAGCGCACGUAGGUGGUCCCGUAAGUCAGACGUGAAAUCCCUCGGCUUAACCGAGGAACUGCGUUUGAAACUGCUGGACUUGAGUGCAGGAGAGGAAGGCGGAAUUCCUGGUGUAGAGGUGAAAUUCGUAGAUAUCAGGAAGAACACCGGUGGCGAAGGCGGCCUUCUGGACUGCUACUGACACUGAGGUGCGAAAGCGUGGGGAGCAAACAGG
rnacentral:rRNA from 1 species